CCUGGGGGUGGCCGUGCUGCUGCUGGUGAGCGCCGCCUCCGUGGGCGCCCUGGCCUACAUGCGGAGGAGGGACAGCCGCAGGAGGACCUCCAGCACUGCCUCCACCCGAGUGCUGACUCUGUACCACCGCGAGAGCGACCCCGAGGAGGAAGAUGAGGAGGAGGAAGAGCUUCCCCCCAAGGGCGACACCUUUGUGAACGAAGCUUAUGAUGGGAAGGAGGAGCUGCCAGCACCGCUGGG